CUGUGGUGAUGACUCUCUUAGGACAUCCUCGGAUUUAAUUGUGAAAAAAUAAGCGUUAUUUUUGAGUAGC